GUGCAUGAACAUGUAGUAGUACAUGAAGCUCUGCAGAAAGUUCCUCAGAUCUCUGUGGAGCGUUUAGAUGAUCUGUUGAUAAACUGAUUGUUUAUUUCCUGUUGAUCAGUUGAAGACCAGGGCCCUGUUUCACGAAGCAGGUUUAGUGAAAACUCUGAGUUUCUUAACCCUGAAAUGAGGGAAACUCAGAGUUUUCCGUUUCAUGAAGCGAGGUAACUUAACCCUGAGACAGAGGGGUAACUCUAGCCUGUUUCACAAAGAGGGGUAACUUCAACUCUCGGUCAGUUACCGCAGUAACAGACUCUAUGACUCUAACCUGGUCACCAGCAGGUUUAUCUGAGAAAACCUCCAGUUUCUCUCCGUCUCCGCCCUCUUUCAGCCACACGCUGUUUCAUUUCCUCAUUCAUUCAGUCAGUAAGCGAGCGAGUUUUGGCGUAGAACAGCUUUUAUUAACGAUCCAGUGGAUAAAGGAGCAGCAUUACUGCACAGAUAAUUAAAUAUUCGUCGGUAGAUUGUUAUCAGACCGAGCAUAAAUGUUCUCGCAUUUCCGGACAGUUAUCGGUUUGAGCGGUACCGUUUCAUAAUCGUUUCAAGUCCAUAAUCUACAUAAACAACCUAAUCCGUCCUUACAUUUACAUUACCAACCAGUCAUGCUCUCACAUCCAGCAGAUAUUGUGUGUUGCUGCGGUUCUUUGCAAAUGAAAGUUUUUAUAUAAUGUCAGAGAUGCAGAGUAAGACAACUGUAUGGAGGACAGUCAGAAAAGUUUUCCUGGCUCUGAAACCACUUUUACUCAUCAUUGUGGUUUUCCUGGACAUAAACCUGUCAGAACAUCAGGAGGAUCCACAGGAUUGCAGGAUUUCCCAGUGUGAUUGGCUGCAUAGAUGCACACACAUCCCCAUCACAGCUCCCUCACAUCAUGAACAGGAAGUCCAUUCACAGCAUAAAUGUGCAGAUCAUAUGUGAUGCUGCAUACAUCAUUUCUAAUGUGGAGGCCACGUGGUCUGGGUCUGUUCAUGACUCCAGGAUUUAUGGAGAGUCUAACCUGAGCAACAGACUGCAGCGUGGUCAGCAGCAUAAAGAUUUUCACAAUAGAAUUCUCUUGUCUCCCUCCUUUAAUAUGCUCUGAUGUAUCCACUAUACAUUACAGGAGAGUUUGAUGGCCUUCUGCUGGGUGACAGGGGUUACCAUGACAACCCAGGCUGAUGACCUCAUACCCUGACCCUGAACCAGGCCCCCAACAGAACUUCAACCGGACUCACUGCAGGACCAGAGCCCGGGUGGAGAUGACCAUAGGCCUGCUGAAAGCCCGUUUCCAGAGCCUACGUCUCCUCAGGGUGACCCCUGAGAGGGCCUGUGAUAUUACUGUGGCAUGUGUUGUUCUUCAUAAUAUUACUAUUAGAGGAGAGCAACACCCUGCCCUACAAACUGAAGACCCAGAUGAUGAGCCCAUCCACCUGCAGCUAUCCAGGACAGCAGAGCAGUCAGAGACACCGUAUGCAAGAAUCACUUUAGAGUUUAAGUCUCCAUCAUCACCACCACAGCAAAUAAAGACAUGAUACACAUUUCA